rnacentral:rRNA from 1 species
AUUGAACGCUGGCGGCAGGCCUAACACGUGCAAGUCGAGCGGAUGAAGGGAGCUUGCUCCUGGAUUCAGCGGCGGACGGGUGAGUAAUGCCUAGGAAUCUGCCUGGUAGUGGGGGAUAACGUCCGGAAACGGGCGCUAAUACCGCAUACGUCCUGAGGGAGAAAGUGGGGGAUCUUCGGACCUCACGCUAUCAGAUGAGCCUAGGUCGGAUUAGCUAGUUGGUGGGGUAAAGGCCUACCAAGGCGACGAUCCGUAACUGGUCUGAGAGGAUGAUCAGUCACACUGGAACUGAGACACGGUCCAGACUCCUACGGGAGGCAGCAGUGGGGAAUAUUGGACAAUGGGCGAAAGCCUGAUCCAGCCAUGCCGCGUGUGUGAAGAAGGUCUUCGGAUUGUAAAGCACUUUAAGUUGGGAGGAAGGGCAGUAAGUUAAUACCUUGCUGUUCUGACGUUACCAACAGAAUAAGCACCGGCUAACUUCGUG